rnacentral:rRNA from 1 species
GGGCCCGCACAAGCGGUGGAACAUGUGGUUUAAUUCGACGCAACGCGCAAAACCUUACCUGGAUUUGACAUCCCGGGCUCACCUCAGAGAUGAGGUUUUCUCUUCGGAGACCCGGUGACAGGUGCUGCAUGGCUGUCGUCAGCUCGUGUCGUGAGAUGUUGGGUUAAGUCCCGCAACGAGCGCAACCCUUGUCCCUAGUUGCCAGCAUUGAGUUGGGCACUCUAGGGAGACUGCCGGUGAUAAGCCGGAGGAAGGUGGGGAUGACGUCAAGUCCUCAUGGCCUUUAUGUCCAGGGCUACACACGUGUUACAAUGGGGGUGACAAAGAGUGGCCAAGCUGCGAAGCUGCGCAAAUCUCAAAAAAACCCUCUCAGUUCGGAUCGCAGUCUGCAACUCGACUGCGUGAAGUUGGAAUCGCUAGUAA